rnacentral:rRNA from 1 species
UCCUGGCUCAGGACGAACGCUGGCGGCGUGCUUAACACAUGCAAGUCGAGCGGAAAGGCCCUUCGGGGUACUCGAGCGGCGAACGGGUGAGUAACACGUGAGCAACCUGCCCCCGACUCUGGGAUAAGCCCGGGAAACUGGGUCUAAUACCGGAUACGACACACCACCGCAUGGUGGAGUGUGGAAAGUUUUUCGGUCGGGGAUGGGCUCGCGGCCUAUCAGCUUGUUGGUGGGGUAGUGGCCCACCAAGGCGACGACGGGUAGCCGGCCUGAGAGGGCGACCGGCCACACUGGGACUGAGACACGGCCCAGACUCCUACGGGAGGCAGCAGUGGGGAAUAUUGCACAAUGGGGGAAACCCUGAUGCAGCGACGCCGCGUGCGGGAUGACGGCCUUCGGGUUGUAAACCGCUUUCAGCAGGGACGAAAACAGACGGUACCUGCAGAAGAAGCGCCGGCUAACUACGUGCCAGCAGCCGCGGUAAUACGUAGGGCGCAAGCGUUGUCCGGAAUUAUUGGGCGUAAAGAGCUCGUAGGCGGUCUGUCGCGUCGGAUGUGAAAGCUCGAGGCUUAACCUCGGGUCUGCAUCCGAUA